GCCAGCAGCCGCGGUAAUACGUAGGGUGCGAGCGUUGUCCGGAAUUACUGGGCGUAAAGAGCUCGUAGGUGGUCUGUCGCGUCAUUUGUGAAAGCCCGGGGCUUAACUCCGGGUUGGCAGGUGAUACGGGCAUGACUGGAGUACUGUAGGGGAGACUGGAAUUCCUGGUGUAGCGGCGAAAUGCGCAGAUAUCAGGAGGAACACCGGUGGCGAAGGCGGGUCUCUGGGCAGUAACUGACGCUGAGGAGCGAAAGCAUGGGUAGCGAACAGGAUUAGAUAC
rnacentral:rRNA from 1 species